rnacentral:tRNA from 1 species
GGAGGUGUGGCUCAGUGGUAGAGCACAUGCUUAGCAUGUGUGAUGCCCUGGGUUCCACCCCUAGCACCCCCC